CAUCCCUAAUUGACUUCUUUAGACUCUAACCUCUAGAUGACGAUUCAUUCACUCUUCAGAUAUUCCUCCUUCGUUAUAUAUACGAUCCGACUUACACGAUAUUUUUAAGUGUUGAUUUUGUCCGCGGAGAGGCUUCUCCGUCACUAGAUGAAACAGAUCUGAGCUUUGAGGUUAUAGAAAAUAUGGCGAGUUCAGAGGUUUCUACGAAAGGAAAUCAUCGUGGAGGAAUAGAGAAAUAGAGAACUUCUCCGCCGCUUUCGCCGGCGGUGAGGCGGAGAUAACUCAGUCUAACCGCUCUGUGGGGGCUGAGCGUGUUGUCGACCCUGAAGCUGCUCUCUACAAAGAGCUCUGGCAUGCUUGUGCUGGUCCUCUCGUGACGGUCCCUCGACAAGAUGACCGUGUCUUCUACUUCCCUUAGGGACAUAUUGAGCAGGUGGAAGCAUCGAAAAACCAAGCUGGCGGAACAGUAGAUGCCUCUCUAUGAUCUUCCUUCGAAGAUCCUUUGUCGAGUCAUUAAUGUUGAUUUAAAGUGGUGCUUAUGCGCAGAUUACUCUUUUUCUGCAACCUAUUCAAGACGAGAAUGCAAUUGAGAAAGAGGCACCUCUUCCUCCGCCCCCCAGGUUCCAAGUGCAUUCCUUCUGCAAAACCUUGACUGCUUCGGACACAAGUACGCAUGGUGGAUUUUCUGUGCUUAGCCGACAUGCUGAUGAAUGUCUCCCGCCUCUGGAUAUGUCACGUCAGCCUCCUACUCAGGAGUUAGUAGCAAAAAAAUUGCAUGCAAAUGAGUGGCGUUUUAGACAUAUUUUCCGAGGUCAACAACGAAGGCAUUUGCUUCAGAGUGGGUGGAGCGUGUUUGUUAGUUCCAAGAGGCUGGUUGCAGGCGAUGCAUUUAUCUCUCUAAGUUUUGUUGGUUUUUGGUUCAUGGUAUUCUUGAUUUGUAUCUAUAUGUUUAGUUGAUCUGUAAUAUCUGGUUCUUCUGCAGGGGUGAGAAUGGGGAAUUACGUGUGGGUGUAAGGCGUGCAAUGCGACAACAGGGAAAUGCGAGAAGUUAAUGCCUACUCUUCUGAAUCCUGUAUUUUUUCUUGCUCUGAAACUCCAGUAUAUUCUCAGUUUAUUUGGUUCCCUAUAUAUACGUGGCAGGAAGGCACACAGGUUACAAAGAGAACAGUUUCCUCUUCUUUGUUUCUUUACCAGGAGCGUUGAGAUCAUAUAUGAUGCAAUAUUACAUAUGGUAGCUCAGAAACAUUUCCAUGAGCUGAUCGAGAUACAAUGGUACCUACAGAUGAUGUGUGAAAAGCAACUAAAGUUACAAGAUACCAGGAGCUCUUCCUCAAUGCCUUAAUCAAAGCAAUGCAAUGGCAUGUUUACCGCAUCAAAAUUUGGUUUCAGGACAAACCGUGAACCAAACUGAAUCUGCUUUUGUAUCAGUGAAACUAAGUCCAUUUAACCUUCUUUUCUUUUUCAAUUCGAGUACAAUUAAGAAAAUAUUUAUCUUGGAAAAAUGAUUACACAUA